rnacentral:rRNA from 1 species
GACGAACGCUGGCGGUGUGCUUAACACAUGCAAGUGGUGCGACGAACCAGAGCUUGCUCUGGGGCAAAGCCGCGAACGGGUGAGUAACACGUGGGUAAUCUACCCCGAUGACCGGGACAACCCGAGGAAACUCGGGCUAAUACCGGAUGUGGUGCGGAGACAUAAGUCUCUUCACUAAAGGUAGCUUCGGCUUCCGCAUUGGGAGGGGCCCGCGGCCCAUUAGCUUGUUGGUGGGGUCAAGGCCUACCAAGGCAACGAUGGGUAGCUGGUCUGAGAGGACGAUCAGCCACACUGGGACUGAGACACGGCCCAGACUCCUACGGGAGGCAGCAGUGGGGAAUCUUGCGCAAUGCGCGAAAGCGUGACGCAGCAACACCGCGUGAGGGAAGAAGGCCUUAGGGUUGUAAACCUCUUUCAGAUGGGACGAAGGUUCUCCGGUGAAUAGCCGAGAGGAUUGACGGUACCGUCAGAAGAAGCUCCGGCUAACUACGUGC